rnacentral:lncRNA from 1 species
AAAAUUUGGGGUACGACAGUAAAUAUUUUCAUUUUGUAAAUAUUUUAUUUUUGUUUCUUCUUAAUUUUUUUUCUUUACUAUUUCUUUCUCUUUUUAGUUUAGUUUUGUUUAAAUUUCUUAUCUAGUGCAAUGCAACUAAAGUAUUCUUCUUUUUAUUUAUAUGCAAGGUCAAGACAAUCAUGCAAUAUGACGUCUAUGGUACCUUUGCAAAG